CCUGUCCCUAGAGGUGUGACAGGCAUGGCUGCUCUGUCACAGGCAUAUCAGUAGGUGGCAAAAAGAAGAGAUUAUAUCUGUGCUUGGUGUUCUGACCUAUGAACAUCUGAAUGAUUAGUAGCCUAACACU
ensembl:snoRNA Gm22595 predicted gene, 22595